GGGGAAUAUUGCACAAUGGAGGAAACUCUGAUGCAGCAACGCCGCGUGAGUGAUGAAGGUCUUCGGAUUGUAAAGCUCUGUCUUCUGGGACGAUAAUGACGGUACCUGAGGAGGAAGCCACGGCUAACUACGUGCCAGCAGCCGCGGUAAUACGUAGGUGGCAAGCGUUGUCCGGAUUUACUGGGCGUAAAGGGAGCGUAGGUGGAUAUUUAAGUGGGAUGUGAAAUACUCGGGCUUAACCUGGGGGCUGCAUUUCGAACUGGAUGUCUAGAGUGCAGGAGAGGAAAGCAGAAUUCCUAGUGUAGCGGUGAAAUGCGUAGAGAUUAGGAAGAAUACCAGUGGCGAAGGCGGCUUUCUGGACUGUAACUGACGCUGAGGCAUGAAAGCGUGGGGAGCAAAC
rnacentral:rRNA from 1 species